rnacentral:rRNA from 1 species
GACGAACGCUGGCGGUGUGCCUAAUACAUGCAAGUCGACCUUAGUGGCGGACGGGUGAGUAACACGUGGGUAACCUACCGAUAAGCGGGGGACAACAUCCGGAAACGGGUGCUAAUACCGCAUCCUUAUCGAUGGCCUUGCGGUUCAUUAGCUCGUUGGUGGGGUAACGGCCGACCAAGGCAAUGAUGCAUAGCCGACCUGAGGGGGUAAUCGGGCACAUGUGGACUGAGACACGGCCCAAACUCCUAAGGGAGGCAGCAGUGGGGAAUCUUCCGGAAGGGGCGCAAGCCUGACGGAGGAACGCCGCGUGAUUGAAGAAGGUUUUCGGAUCGUAAAGCUCUGUUGUAAGAGAAGCGGUAUCUUACCAGAAAGCCACGGCUAACUACGUGCCAGCAGCCGCGGUAAUAC